UUUUUUUUUUUUGUCUUUUUGCUAUUUCUUUGGGGCCGCUCCCACGGCAUAUGGAGGUUCCCAGGUGUGGACAUUAAAAGAAGGAAGGAAGGAAGGAAAAUCAACCCCCCAAAAACAAUACUCACUUCAUGGGGGUGUGAGGAAUAAAUUAUUUCAAUAUACAGAGUUUCACUCGUUCUUCAGCAAACAUAUUUUGAACUCCUACAAUAUGCACUAAGGAUAGAACAUCAAGACCCUGCCCUCACUGCAGAUAAGAGGUCCUUCUCCUUGUUGGGUACCCCACAAUUCAAGAAUUGCUAAGAGAACUGGAGGGCCAUUCCUUAAGGGCAGAAAGCAUGUGAUUCAUGCUUAACAAGAACCUGGCACAUGGCAACAGAUAAUAAAUGACUGCUAAAUGAAUGAACAAACUGUAUUUCUGAUUUGUUAAUAUGAAAAGGAAAAGAAAUUGAUACAUAAUAAUUACCUCACUCAGUGGAGGAGCAGAUACUUCAUAGUAACACUCAGAAACAUUUAGAAGGGAAAGCAAAAACCACACUUUCAUUAUUCCAUGUCAGGACUCAGUAUUAUCAUAUAAAUUUAGAUUCGUCAUAAAAAAAUCUCACCAUCUCUGAUUACUCCUGAAAAGGCUGUGAAAAUGUCUCUGUGUAUAUGUAUGUAAGUAUGUCAUACAUAAUUAUCUUUUUCAGAAAAGUAUCUUCUGUGAUAGUUAUGCUGCAAAAUAAUUAUGUUUUAGACUGGAGUUUUUUAGUAUGUGAAGUCAAUUGCAGAAACCAGUAUUUGGGGACAAAGAAUUUGAAUAAAUACUUACUGUGUUAACCAAAGACCUACUUUUAUCUAAAAAGUAGGAAGUUGUAAUUCUGUUCCUAAGAACUAGAAAAUUCUUCAGAUAAAAAGUAUGAGGUCUCAGCCUUGACACUACUGAUAUUUGGGGCCAGAUAACUCUUGGUUGUGGUGGGCUUUUCAUCUACCAUUAUAGGAUGUUUGGCAGUAUCCUUGGCCUCUAACCACAAGAUUCCAGGAGCACCCCCAAUUAUCAAAUGUCUUGCUGGUGAUUGACAAAAUAUUGUUGGGGGCAGGGGGGUAAAAUCACUCUGGCUGAGAAACACUGAGAUAAACAAUGGAAUGAGAAUUUUUUCACAAAGGCUAUUUAAAUAAGAUAUGGAGGAGUUCCCGUCGUGGCUCAGUGGUUAACGAAUCCAACUAGGAACCAUGAGGUUGCGGGUUCAAUCCCUGGCCUUGCUCAGCAGGUGAAGGAUCUGGCACUGCCGUGAGCUGUGGUGUAGGUCACAGAUGUGGCUCGGAUCCUGAGUUGCUGUGGCUGUGGUGUAGGCUGGCAGCUACAGCUCCGAUUCAACCCCUAGCC
rnacentral:lncRNA from 1 species